ensembl:lncRNA
CCUGACUAAGGCCCUUCUCCCCCGAUCGCUCAGUCUGGCUGGGCAGGCGACUCUAGCAAGAGUCCUGGUGGUUCCAAACUUCUUCCAGAUGAUGGAGGCCACUGUGCUCAUUGGGACUUUCAAUGCUACAGAAAUCUUUCUAUACCCUUCGCCAAAUCUGUGCCUCGAUACAAUUCUGUCUCUGAGUUCUACAGACCUCAUGGCUUGGUUUAUGCUCUGAUAUGCACUGUCAUACUCUGAUACCUUAUAUAGACAGGUGUGUGCCUUUCUCAAUCAUGUCCAAUCAACUGAAUUUAGCACAGGUGGACUCCAAUCAAGUUGUAGAAACAAGGAUGAUCAGUGGAAACAGGAAGCACCUGAGCUAAAUUUUGAGUGUCAUGGCAAAGGCUGUGAAUAAUUAUGUACAUGUUAUGUUUUCGUUCUUUAUUUUUAACAGAUUGUCAUUAUGGGUUGUUGUGUGUAGAAUGUUGAGGAAAAUAAUGAAUUUAAUCCAUUUUGGAAUAAGGCUGUAACAUAACAAAAUGUGGAAAAAGUGAAGCGCUGUGAACACUUUGCGGAUGCACUGUAGUUUUACAGGUUUUUACACUGACUUAAAAAAAGUUGGAGAACAAACUUCAUGAAAAUGUUUUGAAAAUAACCACAGAAAAAAGUCAUAUGGUACUGAAAACCCCCACUAUUUAAUUUAAAACAAAAUUCAAAAAAUCUCAACAAAUUUGUAGUACAAACUUUAUACAUAUUAUUUUCUGACAUGGCGUAUCAAGAAAAUAAAAAAGUAGAAAGUAAAAAUAUUUCAGUAUAGAAUUUUGAAAAACAGUCUAGUAUAGUCAGAUUAUUAAAGAAGAUUAAAAUGAACCUUUUGUAUUUUAGUGUGUAUUAUGUCAAAAACAAAAAAAUAUAUAGUAUUGUCAAAAGAAGUGAAAGAACUACAAAUAUGAUUUACAUUUCAUGAAGAACCAAAUGACAAGAUAAAGGAAAAAAUGAACUUUUGGUUAAAAUAUAAAAUAACGUAAAAGAAGAAAAAUCCAGUGCAUAUCAAAUGUACAAGUUAUGCAAACUGCUAAAACACAAAGAGCUUUCACAGAAUAUAAUUGAAUAAAACAUUUAUUCUGACUGGACCCUCCAAACCUAAAACAUUAAAACACAGACAAGGGCAACAAGCCCCCCAGCACUGAGGCGCCUCUUCAUGAUGCUCUGAGGUCACUGCCAAUGGCCUCGAUGUACACUGACCUCUAGUGGCCACGUUCAGGAAGAACAGUACACUGACCUCUAGUGGCCACGUUCAGGAAGAACAGUACACUGACCUCUAGUGGCCACGUUCAGGAAGAACACUCAACAGCAAUCUAAUGUUAAUAUGAUUCUAGUGGGACAUUUUAUUUCAGCUCACUUGACUCCUAAAAAUAAAUACAGAAUGAUAACCAAUUUUCUAUAGUUGAACGUUAAAGUGUAAAAAUAGGUCAAGUGUCACUUUUCUAGGUUUUGGGGGGUUGAUUUCACAAUGAUUGUGUGUAAUACCCAUUGAGAGAUUAAUGCUUUCACCUGUGACACUUUCUGCGUUUCUUUCUCUCUUUUCUGUCAGCGUGGUGCACACAUUCCUUCAGGGGGAGCCGUCGCUCUUUCUGUAAAUCAUACUCGGGCUGCUUUUUAUUUUCAUACAUUAAACAUUUUCCCUUUACUGCUAAAAUCUUUCUACAUUCACUUUCUGUCUGGAAAAAAAAAUAAUUCACGGGCCACUGGCAUUUUGGGAGAUGAAAAUUUAUAUUAUGGGAGUAUAAUGGUUUUCUUCCCAGUGUCCCAUUGUGUGCUGGAUCUGCAGGACUCCAUUCAUCUGUCCCUUUUUCUUCAGUUAUCGUCUCCUUCUCUGCCCCCCUCCCUACAUUUACGUUUCUGUGAUAUCUGCACCUAAAAAGACGCCUUCUGUCCCUCAUUUUGCCCGUCUCCUCGUCUCUUUGCGUGGGUGGGAGGAAGAAAAGGCCGGUCAGUGGAGUUGGACAUGAACAAAGAAGUGGUGUACUUGUAGUGUACAGUAUUGUACUGUACAGUAGUGUAGUUAAGCAAUAAGGUACAAGAGGCUGUGUUUUAUCGUCUGGCCUAACAACCCCUGAACUGUUUCAUUAUUGAAGAUAAAGUACUGCCUCAAGUACCUUUAUUGUUUCUAUACUACGGUUACCAGCGAAAUUAUAAAUGCACACCAGAUCGUUUGGGGAGCUCCCGGCGUCCAGCCGCCUCGUCUGGCUGAGUUUCUCUCACCGGAUCGCCACUAUCGAAAUACAGGGAGACAAACACAAUCCUUGAUUCACUGCACCUGAGGCCAAUGGCGCCUCCACCUGGCACAUCAGUGUAGUUUAGGGUGCAGUAGGACACAGUAGUGUAGUUUAGGGUGCAGUAGGACACAGUAGUGUAGUUUAGGGUGCAGUAGGACACAGCAGUGUAGCGUGCAGUAGGACACAUUAGUGUAGUG